UACAGAGGGGGCAAGCGUUGUUCGGAAUUAUUGGGCGUAAAGCGCACGUAGGCGGCUUUGUAAGUAAGAGGUGAAAGCCCGGAGCUCAACUCCGGAACUGCCUUUUAGACUGCAUCGCUUGAAUCCAGGAGAGGUGAGUGGAAUUCCGAGUGUAGAGGUGAAAUUCGUAGAUAUUCGGAAGAACACCAGUGGCGAAGGCGGCUCACUGGACUGGUAUUGACGCUGAGGUGCGAAAGCGUGGGGAGCAAACAGG
rnacentral:rRNA from 1 species